UAAGCUUAACACUAUUUUUUAAAGCCUACGGUUAGUUGAAUAUUGUGAGGAAAAAAUUGUGCAACUAUGGGCAGCAUAUGAAUGUAAAUUGUGGCACAUGUAAACUUAGGAAAUGCUUGAUGAAAUUAGAUUUAUAAUUGCUGGAAUAUGCGAGUUUAUUUGUGUGAAAUUGAUAGUUGAACUUGAUAGAUACCAUUGGAAAGGAUCAAUAUGUGUGCUAACGUUAUAAACAAGUUGUCGGUACUUAUAAUCUAAAGAAUUAC
rnacentral:lncRNA from 1 species